UACGGGGGGGGCAAGCGUUGUUCGGAAUUACUGGGCGUAAAGGGCUCGUAGGCGGCCAACUAAGUCAGACGUGAAAUCCCCAGGCUCAACCUGGGAACUGCGUCUGAUACUGGAUGGCUUGAAUUCGGGAGAGGGAUGCAGAAUUCCAGGUGUAGCGGUGAAAUGCGUAGAUAUCGGAAGGAACACCAGUGGCGAAAGCGGCUUCCUGGUCCAGCACCGACGUUCAGGCACGAAAGCGUGGGGAGCAAACAGG
rnacentral:rRNA from 1 species